UACGUAGGGGGCAAGCGUUGUCCGGAAUUAUUGGGCGUAAAGAGCUCGUAGGCGGUCCGUUAAGUCUGGUGUGAAAUCUUGAGGCUCAACCUCGAAACUGCACCCGAUACUGGCGGACUUGAGGCAGGUAGGGGAAGGUGGAAUUCCUGGUGUAGCGGUGAAAUGCGCAGAUAUCAGGAGGAACACCCGUGGCGAAGGCGGCCUUCUGGGCCUGUUCUGACGCUGAGGAGCGAAAGCGUGGGGAGCAAACAGG
rnacentral:rRNA from 1 species